rnacentral:lncRNA from 10 species
GCGGGGGCUGCGGAGUGCUCCCUCCAAGACCGGUUGCACCCCGCUUUCCUGGCCAGGACUCUGGGCGCGGCAGCUACAAAGACGACGCCGGCUGCGCUCGCGGGACCAGAGGGAGGGAGGCUGCGGACGAGUGCGGGGAGGAGUUUGAGAUGGGAGGCGCUUGCAGGGGCUCCCCCAGUUCUGCGCUGUGAGCCGGGGCACAAAGAGCCCUCUGCACUAGCGCCGCAGGACCGCGGACCCGAGUUGGAGGCAUCUGUCCACCCAUGUGGUUCCAGACACGUUCAUGUGGCCACCAUGACCCCGUCGGCAUCACAGGGGUAACCAAGAGAGCAGCAAGUUCCUGGGACAGAGGAGACAGAAGGGAAUUUCCAGGUUCUUCAGGACGUUCACAACCACACUGAGAAGCAUCUUUGCAGAUAAGUAUUUAAACUUACCAGCCCAUAGCCUACCAGCCUGCCCUCUUCUGGUCUGUGCAGGAAAGUGUAGUAUCCUAGAAUGCCAAAGUGGGAGGGGAAAUGGGUGAUGUAGCUCAUUCUCUUUUCUACCUCUAUGGAAGAAAGAAAGAGCCUGUCCCCAUUUUGUGGGGUCCCAGAAAGGGUGAUUUUCACACUUCACAUUUGGCGUUAGGGCUAGUAUUUCACAAACAUUACCGUCUGGAACUUUUGAAGGCUGAGUUAAAUGACUUCAUCUUGUGUACUUGUAGAACUGCUAUUAGAAGGAGGCUGGGGACUCCCUGAUGAUGUGAACCAGCCCUUCUCUUCUCAGUUUCAGCACUUUGUGAUCAUAUUUAUAAACCUUGGACAGGGCUCCUUGGCCUUAGAGUUAAGUGAAGAGUUAACACUGUGACUUUAGAUGCAUUUUUCUCAGUGUAAGUGUCUGAGCUCAUCUCCAGUUCUGGACUCGUGCCCCCACUCCCGGGUGCUGACAGCAAGCUCUGAAGAUAUGCUGAGAGAGCUCCCUGACUCUCCUGACUCAGGUCUGCCAGUUGAUGAAGACAGCACAGUUGUUACCAAAAACAAAACCUGGCAGAUGGUCCUAGGUCAGGAUUAGUGGUCAUUCUCUGGUCUUCUCCAGACUGGUGACACAGGGUGGUCUUAAAAGAGUCCUAGUCCAGCCUCUGGCUCCCCGAAUUUCCUCUGGUGCAUGGGGCAUCAGGAAAGGGCAGGGGAGAAGGAGGGGGAGCAGAAAAAUAACUGAGGCUGGGCAGAAGGGUCCCUUCCAUUUCCCAUCCAUUGCUUCAAACAAUGGGUGAUUACCGUGCACCUUGAGUGAAUGUCAAGGCAGGAAGGGUUCCAGGGCCACCCAGUGUGGCAGGAGCAGAGCUGGGAUCAGAAUUCUGGAUUCCUGACUCUCCGUUCAGCUGCUAUUCAGCUAUCACCAAGCUGCUGAGUUUGUCCUACUUUCUCCUGGGUCACAUUCUGCUGUUGUUGGGAAACAGGGAGUGAGUGAAGGGAACCUGGGAACCCUUCUCCCCUCACCUUUUAAGGAUGUUCUGGGGUGGAAUAAAGAGAGGUGGAGGGUGGGGUGCCUGGGCCCAGCCUCCCUGGCUCCUGGUCCUUCUUUCUUCAGCAGGGAGUUCUGGCAAGGCCUGGGCCUGGGGAGGGGGCCUGGGUGCAGUUUUCUCCUGCGGUGUGGUUGGCUCUUUUGUCUUCCAGGAUGGGCCUGUGGGGUCUGUGUGGGGAAGGAAGGAGCUGGGAGCCUGGGCUGCCUGUGUGUCGGCUGGAUGCUGCCAGCACCGGCAUGGACCAAGCAACUUCUCUGAGCCAGAUGCUGGGGACGCAGAGGUGAACCCAGAGACAUGAUCCCAUCUGCUCAGAUCUUCAUGUCAGAACACGCUUUAUUACAGUCUCGGCAAGGGGGUGGCUCCAUCUGGGCCGCAUCUCCAGGACUCCUGGCCUGGACUUCUCUUUGGACCUCGGGUGACCUUGGAUUCUGGCCACAGUGACUUAGCGGUCAGACUCCGGUGGUUUUCUAGCCCGCUGGGUGACUCCCUGAAGAUCUCAUCCUCUUCACACCUGCCUGGCAGCCCACUACUCCCUCC